rnacentral:rRNA from 1 species
ACUCCUACGGGAGGCAGCAGUGGGGAAUAUUGCACAAUGGGCGCAAGCCUGAUGCAGCCAUGCCGCGUGUGUGAAGAAGGCCUUCGGGUUGUAAAGCACUUUCAGUCGUGAGGAAGGUAGUGUAGUUAAUAGCUGCAUUAUUUGACGUUAGCGACAGAAGAAGCACCGGCUAACUCCGUGCCAGCAGCCGCGGUAAUACGGAGGGUGCGAGCGUUAAUCGGAAUUACUGGGCGUAAAGCGCAUGCAGGUGGUUUGUUAAGUCAGAUGUGAAAGCCCGGGGCUCAACCUCGGAAUAGCAUUUGAAACUGGCAGACUAGAGUACUGGUAGAGGGGGUAGAAUUUCAGGUGUAGCGGUGAAAUGCGUAGAGAUCUGAAGGAAUACCGGUGGCGAAGGCGGCCCCUGGACAGAUACUGACACUCAGAUGCGAAAGCGUGGGAGCAAACAGGAUUAGAU